UUUCCAUCAAUAAAGAUUUGAUUUUUGUUGUUCCCUUUUGGAAAUCAAGAAACUUUUUUCAUAGUCCUAGCUACUAGCAAGAAGCUCAAAAAGGUCUUCUUUCCCAUGGAUUCACAAAGGAAAGAACACAGUCUCCCUAAGGCUUCUACCAUAGUUUCUGCUGCAGAGGCUUCUCCACGUGUAUACACUUCAAUAUUGCAGAGCGAACAAGAACUACUUGUUGAAGAAG
rnacentral:misc_RNA from 1 species